UGACACGGCCAUGCUACCCUCCACACGCCCAAUUCCAUCUGAUCUCAGAAGCUAAGCAGGGUCGGGCCUGGUUAGUACUUGGAUGGGAGACCACCUAGGAAGACCAGGUGCUGUAGGUA
rnacentral:rRNA from 1 species